AAACUGAAGAGUUUGAUCAUGGCUCAGAUUGAACGCUGGCGGCAGGCUUAACACAUGCAAGUCGAGCGGUAACAGAGAUAGCUUGCUA
rnacentral:ncRNA from 1 species